UAACCUGCCCAAGAGAUCGGGAUAACACCUGGAAACAGAUGCUAAUACCGGAUAACAACAGAUGAUGCCUAUCAACUGUUUAAAAGAUGGUUCUGCUAUCACUCUUGGAUGGACCUGCGGUGCAUUAGCUAGUUGGUAGGGUAACGGCCUACCAAGGCGAUGGUGCAUAGCCGAGUUGAGAGACUGAUCGGCCACAUUGGGACUGAGACACGGCCCAAACUCCUACGGGAGGCAGCAGCC
rnacentral:rRNA from 1 species